UACGUAGGGGGCAAGCGUUGUCCGGAAUCAUUGGGCGUAAAGAGCGCGUAGGCGGUCCGGUAAGUCGGUUGUGAAAACUGGGGGCUCAACCCUCAGAGGCCGACCGAUACUGUCGGGCUAGAGUCCGGAAGAGGCGAGUGGAAUUCCUGGUGUAGCGGUGAAAUGCGCAGAUAUCAGGAGGAACACCAAUGGCGAAGGCAGCUCGCUGGGACGGUACUGACGCUGAGGCGCGAAAGUGUGGGGAGCGAACAGG
rnacentral:rRNA from 1 species